AUACGGAGGUAGCAAGCGUUAUUCGGAAUCACUGGGCGUAAAGGACGCGUAGGCGGGUUUGUAAGUCAGGUGUGAAAUCCUACAGCUCAACUGUAGAACUGCACUUGAAACUACAGACCUAGAGUAUGGAAGGGGCAGAUGGAAUUAGUGGUGUAGGGGUAAAAUCCGUAGAUAUCACUAGGAAUACCGAAAGCGAAGGCGAUCUGCUGGGACAUUACUGACGCUGCGGCGUGAAAGCGUGGGGAGCAAACAGGAUUAGAAACCCUAGUAGUCC
rnacentral:rRNA from 1 species